ACUUUUGAAAUAUCCA
rnacentral:miRNA from 1 species